CCCUUUUUCCCGUUCGCCUCCUCCAGCAGCAGGAUGUGAUCCACCGGCAAGGAGGGACGCCAAUAAGGUGUCCGAUAAGAGGUGCACUGUAACCAGACAGUUGCCUCACCCUCCUGCCACCGUGCUGUCCCUCCAUCGAGAACGACACCCUCAAACUAUAGAUGCCCUUGGAGAAAUAGGAAAGCUGGACAACAGGACAGCCAGGAGAGAAAGAACCCCUUCCCGGGCUAUAGUAAGAAUUAUCCCCAGGACUUGUGGAGGAUAAAGGCAGGAAAUAGGGAGUGCAUGCCCGUGCUGAGCGGAUGAGGCGACAGGAAAGAGAUGUGGCAGGUCUCCGAUGAUGAGUCUGUGCCUUGCUUCUGGCUCUGGUCCCACAGAAGCAACAAAACUCACCAGAGGACUGGCGGGACUUGUUGGUUGAAGGGACCUAUCCCGGCACUACACAGGGUCCCGAGAAGGAUGCAGGACCCUGGAGAUCAGCAGAUCCAGUGGGCGUCUCUGCAGACAGAACUGUGGGGCCUUGGCACCGCCUGGCCAGGCAUCCGCCACCUAGGAAGGAGUGAGAACUGUAUGCUGAGCACUUCCACAGGCCCAGAACAUUCAGCUGAGUUACAGAAAAGUACGAGACAUGUCUCUGGAUUUAGGUCAAGAGUCAUAACCUGCCAUACGCCAAUUAGGAAGUUUUAGUCUGUUUUGUGUGAGUGCUAAGUGCGCACCAUGACUCAUAGCAAAGAAACCAGGGCAUGCUGAGUUCAGAUACGCCAUCGGGAUCCCCAGGCCAUCACGGGAUAACCAGUGCAUGCCUAACUCAAACUCUCCUCCAUUCUGAUGGCCACCAGAGCAGCCGUCCUCAGCCCUUCUAACGCCUCAACCCCCUAGUACUCUUCCUCAUGUUGUGGUGACUCCACCCAAAAGCCACGCUUGAAGACAGGAUGGUCGGAUCUAAAUGCCACACCGGAAGAGUAUUCAGAACUAUCUCCCUACGGAGAUGGACCAGAAAGAGGAAGAGAGCUGUUGGUCACCAAGGAACACACAGCUCCUCAACUGCCUCUUAGGAAAGCAAACAUUCACAAAACAAAUGCUAACCUUAUAACCAAUGUUCUCAAGGUUUAACUUCAUGAAAACAGUUUAUUGUAGGCCGAAAUAUCCUGAUAACAAGUUCAUCAGUUCAAUGUACUGCCAAAUAGAUCUAAGGAUUUUAAGUAAUUAAAAGGUAGGAAACCCUUUGAAAUAGUUUGCUUAUCUUAGUAAUGUUAUUGAGAUGAUCUUCAUAUAGGCGAA
rnacentral:lncRNA from 1 species